CUGGAAACAGCUUCUGAAGCAAAGAGAGCCACUCCUACCAUAAAUACAUACUUCCAAGGGGAGCUAGAGGAGGCUGAAAGACCCACCCCAGCAGUGAUAGUGAACAAGGAAGUGAGCCCAGGGGUGGGAGCAUUUACAAGAAAUGAAGAAUGGGGCUGAGGAAGGAACCAGGAGUCUUGCUUCAGAGUGUCCUGCUAGACAGCUACUUUUCCAAUCAGGAAGGGAACUGGGUGAACAUAUGGUACAGCUCCAGAAGGAGGAAGAUGGGGAAGAAACAGAGGGGCUGGAGUGAAAACAGCAUUACCUGCUUCAGAUGUUGCUGAUGAUGAAGAUCUCAACCUGCACAUGAGGCUCAGAUAAAAUGCACCAGAUUUUGGCAACUAAAUUAUACAAUGAUUCAAAAAACCACAAAGCAGCUGAGGUUGAAAACUUCUCUUGAGACCACCUUGCCCACGUCACCCUGCUCAAACAGGGUCAUCCAGAGAAGGCUGCCCUGGACCACAUCUGGCCAAAUGAGAAUAUCUUCAAGGAGGGAGAGUCCACAACCUCUCCCUACAAACUGUUCAUCCCCUCAAUAAAUCCACACUGUUCAGGAACUACUUGUGUAAAUGUUUCAGCUUGUGCCCAAUUACUCUUCUCCUGUCACUGGGCAGCAUUGAGAAUAAUCUUGCUCCAUCCUCUCUAAUCUUUCCCAUCAAAUAUUUGCAUAUGUGGAAAAAUCUCCCUGAGCCUUCUCUUCUCCAGGCAGAACAUCCCAUCCUUCUGAAUCUUUCCUUAUAAGAGAGAUAAUAUCCCAGAUUCUUCAUAAUCUCUGUGGUCUCUGACUGGACUCUCUCCCACAUGUCCAUAUUCCUCUGGCAUAUCAGCCACUGCUCUGAGUUCUGAAAUUCUCCAGAUUUGUGGAGGGUGUUCUCUACCCUGCCACCCUGCUCAUUAAUUGACAUAUUAAAAGUUUUUAGUCCCCAUAUCAUGGAGUGCAUCUCUACUGUCUGGUCUCUAAGUGGAUUUUGUGCUACCCAUCACAGCCCUAUGAGACCAGCCAGUUUUCAGUCCAUCACAGAGCGCAUUUAUUCUGCCUAUGUUUCAUCAUUUUGUCUGUAAGAAGCUGAUGGAACUCAGCGGCAGAACUCUUGCUAAAGUCAAGAUAAAACCCACCCAAUUGGUGAGGCAUGAUUUCCACUUCACAGAUCUGUGAUAACUACUCCUGGUCAUCUUUUCCUCCUUCAUAUGUUUGGAAAUGCUCUUCACAAUUGUUUACUCCAUCAAAUUCUAGAGACUGAGAUGAGACUGAACAGCCUUGCUGCUUCCUUGCUUUUGCUUCUUGACCUCAUUGGACUGAUAUUUCUUCUUUUCUAGUCCUCAGAAACAUCUCCUGAUCACCACAAUCUUUCAAAAACAACCUAGAGUAGUCUCACAGUGAUGCCAGCCAGAUCCCUCAGCACCUUUGGGUACAU